rnacentral:rRNA from 1 species
GAGUAACACGUGAGUAACCUGCCCCCGAUUUCGGGAUAAGCCCGGGAAACUGGGUCUAAUACCGGAUACGACCUGCCCUCGCAUGAGGGUUGGUGGAAAGUUUUUCGAUCGGGGAUGGGCUCGCGGCCUAUCAGCUUGUUGGUGGGGUAAUGGCCUACCAAGGCGACGACGGGUAGCCGGCCUGAGAGGGCGACCGGCCACACUGGGACUGAGACACGGCCCAGACUCCUACGGGAGGCAGCAGUGGGGAAUAUUGCACAAUGGGGGAAACCCUGAUGCAGCGACGCAGCGUGCGGGAUGACGGCCUUCGGGUUGUAAACCGCUUUCAGCAGGGAAGAAGCCGUAAGGUGACGGUACCUGCAGAAGAAGUACCGGCUAACUACGUGCCAGCAGCCGCGGUAAUACGUAGGGUACGAGCGUUGUCCGGAAUUAUUGGGCGUAAAGAGCUCGUAGGUGGUUGGUCACGUCUGCUGUGGAAACGCAACGCUUAACGUUGCGCGUGCAGUGGGUACGGGCUGACUAGAGUGCAGUAGGGGAGUCUGGAAUUCCUGGUGUAGCGGUGAAAUGCGCAGAUAUCAGGAGGAACACCGGUGGCGAAGGCGGGACUCUGGGCUGUAACUGACACUGAGGAGCGAAAGCAUGGGGAGCGAACAGGAUUAGAUACCCUGGUAGUCCAUGCCGUAAACGUUGGGCACUAGGUGUGGGGGACAUUCCACGUUCUCCGCGCCGUAGCUAACGCAUUAAGUGCCCCGCCUGGGGAGUACGGUCGC